rnacentral:rRNA from 1 species
UACGGAGGGUGCGAGCGUUGUCCGGAAUCACUGGGCGUAAAGGGCGCGUAGGCGGCUCAUGAAGGCUGUGGUGAAAGUCCGGGGCUCAACCUCGGAUCGGCCGUGGCGACUCGUGGGCUGGAGCACUGUAGAGGCGGGUGGAAUUCCGGGUGUAGCGGUGGAAUGCGUAGAGAUCCGGAAGAACACCAGUGGCGAAGGCGGCCCGCUGGGCAGUGGCUGACGCUGAAGCGCGACAGCGUGGGAGCAACAGG